rnacentral:rRNA from 1 species
AGAGUUUGAUCCUGGCUCAGGAUGAACGCUGGCGGCGUGCUUAACACAUGCAAGUCGAACGAAGCACUUUAUUUGAUUUCCUUCGGGACUGAUUAUUUUGUGACUGAGUGGCGGACGGGUGAGUAACGCGUGGGUAACCUGCCUUGUACAGGGGGAUAACAGUUGGAAACGGCUGCUAAUACCGCAUAAGCGCACAGCAUCGCAUGAUGCAGUGUGAAAAACUCCGGUGGUAUAAGAUGGACCCGCGUUGGAUUAGCUAGUUGGUGAGGUAACGGCCCACCAAGGCGACGAUCCAUAGCCGACCUGAGAGGGGGACCGGCCACAUUGGGACUGAGACACGGCCCAAACUCCUACGGGAGGCAGCAGUGGGGAAUAUUGCACAAUGGGCGAAAGCCUGAUGCAGCGACGCCGCGUGAGCGAAGAAGUAUUUCGGUAUGUAAAGCUCUAUCAGCAGGGAAGAUAAUGACGGUACCUGACUAAGAAGCACCGGCUAAAUACGUGCCAGCAGCCGCGGUAAUACGUAUGGUGCAAGCGUUAUCCGGAUUUACUGGGUGUAAAGGGAGCGCAGGCGGUGCGGCAAGUCUGAUGUGAAAGCCCGGGGCUCAACCCCGGUACUGCAUUGGAAACUGUCGUACUAGAGUGUCGGAGGGGUAAGCGGAAUUCCUAGUGUAGCGGUGAAAUGCGUAGAUAUUAGGAGGAACACCAGUGGCGAAGGCGGCUUGCUGGGCUUUUACUGACGCUGAGGCUCGAAAGCGUGGGGAGCAAACAGGAUUAGAUACCCUGGUAGUCCACGCCGUAAACGAUGAUUACUAGGUGUGGGGGGAUUGACCCCUUCCGUGCCGGAGUAAACACAAUAAGUAAUCCACCUGGGGAGUACGACCGCAAGGUUGAAACUCAAAGGAAUUGACGGGGGCCCGCACAAGCAGUGGAGUAUGUGGUUUAAUUCGACGCAACGCGAAGAACCUUACCAGGUCUUGACAUCAAGUGACCGCCUAAGAGAUUAGGCUUUCCCUUCGGGGACACAAAGACAGGUGGUGCAUGGUUGUCGUCAGCUCGUGUCGUGAGAUGUUGGGUUAAGUCCCGCAACGAGCGCAACCCUUAUCAUUAGUUGCUACGCAAGAGCACUCUAAUGAGACUGCCGUUGACAAAACGGAGGAAGGUGGGGAUGACGUCAAAUCAUCAUGCCCUUUAUGACCUGGGCUACACACGUACUACAAUGGCGUUUAACAAAGAGAAGCAAAGCCGCGAGGCAGAGCAAAUCUCCAAAAAACGUCUCAGUUCGGAUUGUAGGCUGCAACUCGCCUACAUGAAGUCGGAAUUGCUAGUAAUCGUAGGUCAGCAUACUACGGUGAAUACGUUCCCGGGCCUUGCACACACCGCCCGUCA